rfam:Lactobacillus farciminis strain CNCM-I-3699-S genome.
AAAACUUUUAAUCGAGUCCUGUGAGGCUUGGAAGGUUACUUACACAUUAGACAGAAAAAGUGUAAACUUCCUUUCCUUGUGGGAUAGGAAGUUUUUUGUU